UGGACCAGAACCACAGAUGAGUUCUAGCAUUUUAUGUCUAUGAACUGGACCUGUAGUUCUGGUCCGGGUCUUCCUCGUUUCUCUGCGGUUCUGCAGCUCGUUAAACUCAGCGCUGCUGGAAUCAAUCAGAUGAUCAGGAGGAUCCUUAGCCUGGGUCGGCGUCCGGACCCAUCAGGUCGGAGGCGAUUGUCCAGAGGCUAAAGGUCUGACUGAAGCUUCCUGGCUGGCGGCUCCAAGCGGUUCCGAGCGGUUCCAAGCGGCUCCAAGCGGAUCCAGAUGAAACAGUCCAGCUUCAGCAGGAUGAGCAGCACAAGCCUCUGGCCUCCUCUGCAGCUGGAGGUCGAUUCCCUGACGACCAGGAAGUGGAUCCAAAGAGAGAGGAAGAAAAGUUCGACCUGGAUUUAGUUUUUGUCAGCAGAAGGUUUUUUGGAAGUUGGUCCAGUUCGCUUCUGGACAAACAAACUGGGACUGUAACUGGACAAAGUUCUGCUCUGGUUCUGAUCGGCCCAAACCAUUCAGACCACAUUCAGACAAUCAGACGUCUUCAUUCAGAAAUCUGCUCACUUUUCAAACACAUUUGGUCAGCAGACACUGACCUCUCUCCUGUCUUAUUGAUUAGAAAAUGAUGCCACAGAUGAAAAUAGGAUUUUUAAUCAAAACCUGGAUCAGAUUUAAGAGAUAAAUUCAGAACAUCCACAAGUUCCUGGAAUCCCCAAAUUCAUUCCUAACAAGUUGGGAGUUUUUCCUUCCACCCAACUUUCCAUCACUAAGCAAGCAGCCGGCUGUCUGAGCUGAAAUGUUUCUGUUUUAAAACAGUUUCUAUAAUUCUGCCUUAUUUUAGUAUUUAUGAUAAAUAUAUUUAAACUUUAUUUUCUGAAAUAAAUGGAAAAUUUUGACCUUUUA